AACGAACGCUGGCGGCAUGCCUAACACAUGCAAGUCGAACGAGACCUUCGUGUCUAGUGGCGCACGGGUGCGUAACGCGUGGGAACCUGCCCUUAGGUUCGGAAUAACUCCCCGAAAGGGGUGCUAAUACCGGAUAAUGUCUUCGGACCAAAGAUUUAUCGCCUUUGGAUGGGCCCGCGUUGGAUUAGCUAGUUGGUAGGGUAAAAGCCUACCAAGGCGACGAUCCAUAGCUGGUCUGAGAGGAUGAUCAGCCACACUGGGACUGAGACACGGCCCAGACUCCUACGGGAGGGAGGAGUGGGGAAUAUUGGACAAUGGGCGAAGGCCUGAUCCAGCAAUGCCGGGUGAGUGAUGAAGGGCUUAGGGUUGUGAAGCUCUUUUACCCGGGAUGAUAAUGACGGUACCGGGAGAAUAAGCACCGGCUAACUCCGUG
rnacentral:rRNA from 1 species